GCAAAUCCAUUACAUUGAUGGCACUGUGGAUCACCGUAACAGCAGGAGUCAGGCCGGCCCCGUAAUGAGAAUAGGCUUCCAUUGAUUGGCCUGGGGCUCCCUCUUAGACAAUGUCAUUUCAGCAGGCAAGGAUCAUCACCGGAGGCAGGGAUGCAUUCCAGUAGCAUAAAGGGUGUGAAACAAGACAGAAGAGCUGCCCACAUCCUGGCCUCAGCUACCUGCCCAUUCCACCAAGGUCGGAAACAGCCUGAAGCCCUGGAAUCUGAGCUGGUGCAAUUAAGAUUUGCUGAGCCCUGCCAGUUGAAGCAGGUAGUUGAGAAGAGAGAAAGUGCACACGGGAGAAGGCGAGAAACUGACUGAAUACAGGCAGCAGCAUGAGCAGCAGAAAAGAGCCGUUUUCUUUCAUUUGGUCCAAAAGAUAUGUGGAGAAAGUGGCUCAUGCUGACAUUGAGAAAUGAAAGACGUGCGCUAAAAAUACACUUGCGGUGCCGUCGCUUUCUUGCAAGGAGCGCCAAUUGGAUCCUUCUUUCAAUGCGGGCUAUUUUUUAUUUUCUUUAUUCAUAUUUUCCUUUCUUUUCUUAACCUGAAGCCUCCAAGGGUGUGACUACACUUAAAAACAAUUAACGGACAAAGGAAAUGGAAAUGCACAAAGUGGCUCCUCUAUGGCAAAAAAUUAAAAAUGGGGUGAGGGACCGGUGGCCCUCAGUAUAUUCUUGGUCUCCAACUCCCAUCAGUCCUGGACAGACUGUCAGGAAUAGAGAGUGGAGUUUGUGUUUUUAUUAUGCACUAGAAUAAUAAAGUACAAGAUAAUGCUGUAACAUAUACUUUAUUAGGAACUUUGUGGUGAUUUAAAAAAGCAUGGUGAUGAGUCUUGAUUCCUAGUCAUAAUCUAUUUAUUUACUCUUUGGUGAAGUUGGUUGUUUGGAAUUUCUUUUCCUAGUAAGUAACAGAUAGUAUUAUAA